AACGAACGCUGGCGGCAUGCCUAACACAUGCAAGUCGAACGAAACCUUCGGGUCUAGUCGCGGACGCGGGGGCAAACCGGGGGGAACUGCCCCUAAGUUUGGCAUAAAUUCCCGGAAGGGGUGCUAAAACCGGCUCAAAUCCCCCGACCAAAGAUUUAUCGCAUUUGGGUGGGCCCGCGUUGGAUUUGCUUGUUGGUAGGGUAAAAGCCUACCAAGGCGACGAUCCAUAACUGGUCUGAGAGGAUGAUCAGCCACACUGGGACUGAGACACGGCCCAGAAUCCUACGGGAGGCAGCAGUGGGGAAUAUUGGACAAUGGGCGAAAGCCUGAUCCAGCAAUGCCGCGUGAGUGAUGAAGGCCUUAGGGUUGUAAAGCUCUUUUACCCGGGAUGAUAAUGACAGUACCGGGAGAAUAAGCUCCGGCUAACUCCGUG
rnacentral:rRNA from 1 species